CGCCGUAAGGAUUACUCGGGAUAAGAUUUCGGAAAACCCCCCGCUGUUUCCGGCCUCGUCGUAGGCCAGAUCGAGGCUUGAAUUCGUCGUGUCAUCGUCUUGAGCAAUUGUAAUUUUUUAUAAGUCGUGAUCCAGCUUAAAGUUUAUUUGAUUUCGUUUAUUGUCUUCAUUUUAUGAAUUUAUCGUCGUCAUCGCUCCGGUUGGUUAUGUUACUGAGACAUCUGCGUGGUGAAGGUCCCCCGUCCCGACUUUUCCUGUCUUUUCCGACCAUUUUCCUCUUAGCAUCCCCCUUUACCUCAGUUUAGGUAGCUGGACUAUCGUCACCGGAAGUAUUGUUUGGUUCCACCAUAGUAUACUUUCUUGCAGUCUUUGCAUUCAAUUUUGUAUACCAGGCCUGAUUGUAGUCCUUUCUCAAUUUUAUCUUUUAGCGACAACUUCUCAACUGUUCCCAUAACCCUUGGAUGUAAGGGAAAGGGACAUAGGAAAUUUCAGAAUCAUUUUCAUUUUUUCAUUCAUCAUCUUCAUUUUUACUAUUCUUAAGUAAAUCCGUUUUUAAAAAUGAAGAUUAACAAUUUUUAUUUUUUGACACCCCUAUUUUUCGUCGCAACAGCAAAAAGUUGCGUUGAUUAUUAAAACGGUCGUGCAAUGUGUAGAGGUGUUUCAUUUUUCAGCGCAACAGUUUGAAAUUAGUUCCUAAAUUCCAAUAAGAUUGUCCCAGGAAAGAGCCAUGAUUCUUUCAUUGUUUCAUGUCCACUUGAUUGAUGAGAAGGUGCGUUGGUGAAGUCGUUUUACGGUGGAAAUUACCUUGAAGACUACUUGAAAAUUGUUCCACGAACAGCAUCCUCAACGUCCGAUACCGAGUCUGUCACAAUAUCAUCCAGUGAUUUUGAGUUUUCAAGAAACAGGAAACGUUAAGCAUGCUCAUCGAGGUUGUAUGUAUCACCGGAGCGAUAACAUUAAUGAAUGUCUUAAUGAAUUAACGAAAUGUCGUAUAUAAAUACAAAUUUUAUUUUUUAAUUUUUUAUUGCUGUUUUCAAUGUAUAAAUAAAGUUGCAAAGUACUACCUACUGCAAAACAAUAUGCACCGUCUGAUAAUAAA